rfam:Natrialba asiatica DSM 12278 contig_21, whole genome shotgun sequence.
AUCGCCGGAGGAUAGAGGAAGUCGGGGCGACCCGGCUGGACGCGAAAUUCUAC